UUGUUGCCAGGUAGCUGUGGAGAUGGAGCUUAGACAGAAUACCAACACUCAGAGAUAGGAGUUUCCUCUUAGCACUGAUUUCAUUGUGUCCCAUAAGUUUGGACUCCAAAGAUUGACAGAAGUAUCAUUUGCUAAUUGGAGUUAUCUUGAAAGCUGCCAAGUACUGAAACAACCAUCUGAGGAUUCUCUUCUACUAAUGAAAAGAACUUAGCAUCAUCAUACAAAAGAGUAUGGAAGAAUUAUAUUCAGUUGUCACUCUACUACCAGUACUAAUUACAAGCCAAUAUCUUAUUUUAAGGAAAUUAUUGGUUCACUUUAUGUUAUUAAAGGUGUGAUUCAUUA